AAUCAACGCUGGCGGCGUGCCUAACACAUGCAAGUCGAACGAGAAAGUGGAGCAAUCCAUGAGUAAAGUGGCGACCGGGUGAGUAACACGUGACUAACCUACCUUCGAGUGGGGGAUAACCUCGGGAAACCGGGGCUAAUACCGCAUAACAUCUUUGAAGUGGAAAUUUCGGAGAUCAAAGGAGCAAUUCGCUGGAAGAGGGGGUCGCGGCUGAUUAGCUAGUUGGCGGGGUAACGCCACCAAGGCUUAGAUCGGUAGCCGGCCUGAGAGGGCGCACGGCCACACUGGAACUGAAACACGGUCCAGACUCCUACGGGAGGCAGCAGUGGGGAAUUUUGCGCAAUGGGGGAAACCCUGACGCAGCAACGCCGCGUGGAGGAUGAAGUCCCUUGGGACGUAAACUCCUUUCGACCCGGACG
rnacentral:rRNA from 1 species